AUGGACCAAGACAUGUCUUUCAACGAGGAAGAUGCUAGGGGAGUGAAGCAGCCACAUAACAAUCCCCUAGUCAUAAUGCUCACGAUAGAAGGAUUUAAUAUCAAGAGGAUCCUCGUGGACAAUGGUAGCUUCGUAGACAUCAUCUACCUUCUCGCUUUUCAGCAGUUGAAGCUAGAUCCAAAAAGACUGCGUCUGUUUGACUCUCCCCUCGUCAGUUUCAGUGGAGACAGAGUAUAUCCCAAGGACAUAAUGUUUGGAAUGCACCAAGGCCGUGUGCAGAAGCUUGCUCUGGAGCGAGGAAGUCCACACAUAUUAUAUAGCUGUGGUGAAGACAGUUUUGUUCAACAUUUUGAUUUGCGAAGUAGUUCUGCUACAAAACUUUUCUGUUGCUCCUCAUUGACAGAAAAUAGUAAGUGGCCUCCAAAGAACAUAAGGUUGAAUGCCAUUGUAAUUGACCCAAGAAAUCUGAAUUACAAUGCUGUCGGAGGAUCUGAUGAAUAUGCACGUGUUUAUGACUUGAGAAAAUGCCAAUUGAAUGCAUCGAGUAAUCUAGAUAGACCUGUGAACACAUUGCGACCAACAUCUUUCACAUCACAGGGUUGUCUUACUCUAAUACAAGUGAACUUCUUGUCUUGUACAACGAUGAACUCAUUUAUCUAUUUCAAAAGUACACGGGGUUGGGCCCCCCAUCAUCAUCUGCCCCAACUGAAGAUCUUUUGAAAAAUGAAGAGCCACACGUUUACUUGGGCCAUAGAAAUUCGAAGACAGUUAAAGUAGUGAGUUUCCUUGGCCCCAAUGAUGAAUAUGUCUUGAGUGGGUCUGUUUGUGGCCAUAUAUUUAUUUGGAAGAAGAAGGGAGCUAAAUUAGUGCGUUUAAUGGUAGGUGAUCGCCAUGUUAUAAAUCAUCUUGCGCCCAUCCCCAUAUUCCUAUUCUUGCACUUGUGGGAUAGAAAAGAAUGAAAAGCUCUGGGCUCCUAUGGCAAGUGAUGCUCCUCCAAUGCCUGCCAAUGCUGAACAGCUACUAUCUUUAAUUAUGGAGUCUAAUAGACAAGGCAGGGAAGACCAUGCAAGGGUACUCUUGCCCCUGAUGUUAUCAUGCAUAUCCUGUGCCUGCAGAGGUGACAAACAAUGGCAUACACUGAAAGGAGAUACAGCAGAGUUGAUAUUGAGAGUGAUGAAGAAGAUGGAGGAUAUGGAUUGUCAGAUGGUGAUACAUCUUUGCGGAGAAGGUUUUAUAGGAAAUUCCACUGAGUGCAACGUUGGCUAGAAGUUUGCCACUUAUAAAUGACAGGAAGUCUAGUAGCAUUGUCAGAUGUACAUGAAGUGCAAAAGCUGAACAGGUACUAUCUUUGCAGGAGUUAAAGAGUUUUUUGUUUGGUUGGUAGACUUGAAAGGUUUCAUGUGUAUAAAUAGGUGGGCGCAAACAAAUGAAGGUAAAGCUUGCUUGCUAAUUUUGGGGCUCUAGUUUGUUAGAGCAUGGUAAACUCCUGAUAUUUUGUAGUAAUAGGGGUUAGUUUGUAUAAA